AGUAGUUAAGUGUUUGGCUGCUAACCAAAAGGGUGGUGGUUUGAAUCCACCAGCUGCUC
rnacentral:tRNA from 1 species